GCGGUCGCCAUGGUGGCAUCGGGGACUCGGCUGGCAUCGUUAGCACAGAAGAUCCUCAGUCAUAGUUAACAAAAUGGAAAAAAAUUAGCUGUGUUUUUAAGAUUCCAGUGGUGGCCAUCAACUGCUCAGGAAAGCAGCCCAGAAUCACUUCACAACAGGUUUCCAAAGGAUCAUCAUUCAUCAGCACAGAAGGGUGGGAAAGAGAAGGCUGUUCAAAUUCUGAAAAGCCAGAGCUGCAAAGGAGGUCAAAGAUGCAGUGCAGUUGGCCCACUCAGUAGAGUUUCACUAGUGGUUCUGAUGUGGACUGAAGAUUACACGCUGGAUUGAAGUGGCCGGUCUGGAGCAGCUGUAGUUCAUCAUUCUUGCUGAUUGUGGACGAGUAAGAGCCCGUGUUGGCCCCGAUCGGCGAUCGCUGGCCAAAGCCCACCACCAGUUUGGUGAUAGGCGUUGGCUGUGAUAUCUAGUGUCGCCUAUGUGUGAAAAGGACAAGUUGAUAACAAAACCUGUUGCGCCAUGUUAUUAACCCGCGCCCGGGUGGCCCUCAGCCAACUUGGGGGGGGGGGAGUUGUAUUCGGCCACACCAGGUUAUCUUGGAAUGUAGCAGAGCUGGAAAGACGCAGUAAAAUCAAUCUAUAGACCGCUAUUUUUCUUCAGAAUCAUACAGGUCAUUUUUGAUCAGGUCAUCGCUGAGGUCACUGGAGGUCACCAAAAGUAAAAUGAUGACGAAUUUUGGCCCCCGAUUUUGACAACUUCACAAAUUGGUUCAUAAUUCGGGAACCAAAGAAGCUGCAGCGCCGCGGAAAAGCGAAUUCGAUAGCUCUUUCGAAAAUCUUUCAGGUUCUCAGAUUUGAGCUAAGGUCAACUAGGGUUAAGCCUCCAAAGGGCAAAAACUGAACAAUCGGCUUGCUUCGGAAGUCGUCUUUUCUUUAAAAAUUUUUUAAACUGAUACCAACCUUUUAUUACGUUGAUUUUACCGGCACUGCGUUUCUCUCGUCUUCUUGGCCUAACAAGGUCAGCUUAAUAAAUUUGACCUCAGGUCAAUGUCGCAGAAAAUGCCAUUUUGCAUGUCAUUGAUUCGUUACAUUGAAAUUGAGAUUAACAUCAGUAGCGGCGGAACACCUUCAAUUAAGGGGGCAUUGCCGACUUUUGGUCUCAUUCUUUCCAUGCAACGGCCAUAGGGCUAAUGUUAAAAUGCCAAAAUCAAAGGGGGCACGGUGCCUCGGUGCCCUCGGCCUGUUCCGCCGCCUAUGAUUAUGAUGCUUUUAGCGCUCUGGCCACGUUCCAUCUAAAAUCGAUGUACAAAAAUAAACUGUUGGGAGGCGUUACAUGACCUGAGAUGACCUCAGGAGCAUACGAUAGAUCCCGAUGUUUGAGUGCUUUUGUUUCAAAAGCAGAACAUUUCGAUUUCGAGUUCCUCAUACUGACUGAAACUGGAGACGUCGCAAAGUUGACCUGACCCUAGGUCACCACCGAUAUCAAAAUUAAAGAUAUUCAAGAUGUUGGUACUGAUUCUCUCAUGCAAUAGCUCGAGUUUCAAACUUCUACUUCAUGGUGACCUGACCUGACCUUAGGUGACAUGGGGUUACUUUUUUCACAAUUGAUGCGAAUCGAUGCAUUAUACAUAAGCUAUACUAAGUUUCGUGUCGUUUUAUCUAUGCAAGCACAAAAUUGUCAGGUGUGGCCAAAAACGCCCCCACGGCCCACCCACCUGGGGAACGUUAAAGCAGUGAUGUAUUUUUUUUUUUCGAUGUAUUCCACGAUGCAUCGAUCGGUGUACUUGAUAAUGCAUUAUUUAUUGCUGCGUGUGUACGCUUUUCCUCUGUUCAGUGUGAUCUGUGAUAGGAAAACUACCGAUAUAUCUCCACGCGCAUGACUGAAAGAGCUGGCGUGAUCUAUAAUAUUGGGUGUCUGUUUUUGUUUGGCAUUUUAUAAAUAAUGAGUCAGC
rnacentral:lncRNA from 1 species